UUUUCGUCGGAUGAGGAGGGCCCAGCGGUGGGGGUCGGGCCGGGUCGGGCCUGGGGAUGCCCAGGCGGCCGCAGAGGAGCGCCGCGUCAAGGUCUCCAGCCUGCCCUACAGCGUGGACCCGCUGGUGUCCGACAAGAAGCCGCCCAAGGAGGCAUCCCCAAUGCCCGCCGAAAGCGCCUGGGCCGGGGCCACCCUGCGGCCACUGCUGCUGCUGGGGCUUCGCGCUGCGGAAGCGCACAGCCCGGGGCAGCCGAUGAAGCCCUUGGAGACCGCCUGGGUCAAGUCGGAAAACUCCCUAAGACCGAGCGGCGUGUAUGCAGGAACCCGGUCGAUAUUCGCCCCGCCAAGACAUAUGAGCCCUACCACCUGCACGCUGAGAAAACUCAAGACCAAUCCGAAGCCGCGCACAGCUUUACCAAGUCCCAGCUCCUCGCUCUGGAGCGCAAGUUCCGCCAGAAACAGUACCUCUCCAUUGCAGAGGGUGCGGAGUUCUCCAGCUCUCCGAACCUCACAGGGACUCAAGUCAAAAUCUGGUUCCGGAACCGAAAACUGCCGGAGUCAGAAUUGGAAAAGCUGAAAAUGACUGCAAAACCCAUGCUAUCCUCCAGCUUCAGUCUCCCUUUCCCCAUCAGCUCGCCCCGGCAGGCAGCGUCCAUAUACGGGGCAUCCUACCCGUUCCAUAGACCUGUGCUUCCCAUCCCGCCCGUGGGACUCUGUGCCACGCCAGUGGGAUAUGGCAUGUACCACCUGUCCUAA